GGGAUAAACACCUACCACCAGUAUUUCUAGGAGUUUUGUGCAUUACUUGCAAUGCUAUCUUAGAAGGGUGUUAAGCUUCAAUUACAUGACUUUCAUUAAAUCAAAUGUAGUCUGAGCAAUGCUUUCAUCACAGAUGUGAUGAUAUACAGCCAUACACAUGGCAUUAUUUAGCUUGGGAGGAGGAGGGAAUAUUCUGGGGAUCCAUUCAUUGUUUUAACCAUUUUACCUGUAAUAAAAUCACCAUGGGCUUAUCUAAAUCCUACUGAAGCCACAGACAACCUGUCCAUUAACCCCACUCCCAUUUGACAGAUGCCGCAAAGCUUUCACUGGCAAAGUCUCACUGAAGUUUUACUCCCUUUGCCCAGGAGGUUUUUGUUUGUUUGUUUGUUUUUGUUUUAAAUAAAAAAGAUUACAACCUACAACCUCAUGAUUACAACCCAGUGCUUUAAUCACUUCCAAGAGUGCUAGCAGAAAACUUCAGAGGGGAAGAAAAUUAAUAAAAUGAUCAGGAAAGAGCUAAAAUGAGCUGGAAAGAGCUACUCAGUUGAGGCUGUCUUUUAGCAAUGCAAUAUUCAUACAAUAAAUCUCACAAGUAAAAUCAAUUUAACAGCUUUUUUUUUUUUUUUUAAGCUACAUUUCAAUCCCCACACAGUGUUGCCACAUGCUUAUAUUCUGUUCGUUACCGUUCAAUAAUUUAAUGGUCCUCACUCUCGCCUUGGGCUCAUGAACCCACAGAACUCGGAGAUACUUUUUAUUAGAGAUUCCUUGCCAGAGGCCUUUCUUAGGUUUGCUGCUUUGCCCAUCACUGCACACCGCUGUGCUCCUCGAGCACCCAAGACCUUUAAAGACAGUUUAGACCACUCCAUUCACGCAUUGGAUUUUAGAAGGAGACCUUUCUCCUGCAGCAGCACUUUUAGGUGGUGCUGAGGAUCUGGGGCAGGGCAGAUUUUUGGGCAGGGCAGAUUUGGCUGCCUCCCAACACCUGCAGAUAAUUCAAGCUGGUGAUAAGUAAAGCUUAGUCAACGGAGAAGAAAUUAGGUUUUGGUACCAACCCUAAGAAUUUUUCCUUCUCAACAGUAACUAACAUGAUGCAUUUUUAAAGAUGUGUUUAUAGCAAGAUUGAGAUGGUUUAGAGCAGCAAAAACUGGAGAAAAAAAAAAAAAAAAAAAAAAAAGUAAUGAAAGAAAAUGGUUUGAAUUAAAAACUGGUGACUGUUGAAGUUAUCUGCAGUUUCAAAACCAAUAAUUGCCAAAGGAGUGAGACUGUGAUGGACUCAAGAGUCUCCCUUAUUUAUUGAAUUCCUGAAGUAGGGCAGAAAGAAAUGCCACAGUGUCUUUGGAGCAGCAACCUGCUGCUUUCAUGUGCAUGAAAAUGAAUUGAACAGACUUUGAGAGGGAAAGACAAGCUGGAAGUUUAUGAUACUAAACUGGUGGUGGAGACAGAAUUAUUGCCAUUGGUGGCAAAGAACAGAGAUCCUAUGGAUAGAUCAGAUUGGGUUAUAAUUAUAACCAAGUGUUAGAUGUAGCUCCUGUUGGAGAUUUUGAAGAUAUGUCAAAACACUGCAAACAGUUUAAAUUUUCCUAAGUGUACACCACCAGGGAUAAAAAAAAACUGAGCAGUUCUAAAUAGCAUAAGUAUCUGCUGAAGUCAGCUCAUGCCUUCAGGAGUAACUCUGGUAUUGUAGCCCACCCAUUUCAUCUUCCACUUCAAAUCUUUCAAAUUGAAAUGGAGCAGACAACUUCAGCUGCAGGCUUGCUUGAGCUUUCUUGUCUUCUCCCCACAAUGAUGGAGCUGUGUCCUCU
rnacentral:lncRNA from 1 species